rnacentral:rRNA from 1 species
GGGUUGUGAGGUUAAGCGACUAAGCGUACACGGUGGAUGCCCUGGCAGUCAGAGGCGAUGAAGGACGUGCUAAUCUGCGAAAAGCGUCGGUAAGGUGAUAUGAACCGUUAUAACCGGCGAUGUCCGAAUGGGGAAACCCAGUGUGAUUCGUCACACUAUCGUUAACUGAAUACAUAGGUUAACGAGGCGAACCGGGGGAACUGAAACAUCUAAGUACCCCGAGGAAAAGAAAUCAACCGAGAUUCCCCCAGUAGCGGCGAGCGAACGGGGAGCAGCCCAGAGUCUGAAUCAGCUUGUGUGUUAGUGGAACGGUCUGGAAAGUCCGACGGUACAGGGUGAUAGUCCCGUACACCAAAAUGCACAGGUUGUGAACUCGAAGAGUAGGGCGGGACACGUGGUAUCCUGUCUGAAUAUGGGGGGACCAUCCUCCAAGGCUAAAUACUCCUGACUGACCGAUAGUGAACCAGUACCGUGAGGGAAAGGCGAAAAGAACCCCGGCGAGGGGAGUGAAAAAGAACCUGAAACCGUGUACGUACAAGCAGUGGGAGCACCUUCGGGUGUGACUGCGUACCUUUUGUAUAAUGGGUCAGCGACUUAUAUUCUGUAGCAAGGUUAACCGUAUAGGGGAGCCGCAGGGAAACCGAGUCUUAACUGGGCGUUAAGUUGCAGGGUAUAGACCCGAAACCCGGUGAUCUAGCCAUGGGCAGGUUGAAGGUUGGGUAACACUAACUGGAGGACCGAACCGACUAAUGUUGAAAAAUUAGCGGAUGACUUGUGGCUGGGGGUGAAAGGCCAAUCAAACCGGGAGAUAGCUGGUUCUCCCCGAAAGCUAUUUAGGUAGCGCCUCGUGAACUCAUCUUCGGGGGUAGAGCACUGUUUCGGCUAGGGGGUCAUCCCGACUUACCAACCCGAUGCAAACUACGAAUACCGAAGAAUGUUAUCACGGGAGACACACGGCGGGUGCUAACGUCCGUCGUGAAGAGGGAAACAACCCAGACCGCCAGCUAAGGUCCCAAAGUCAUGGUUAAGUGGGAAACGAUGUGGGAAGGCACAGACAGCCAGGAUGUUGGCUUAGAAGCAGCCAUCAUUUAAAGAAAGCGUAAUAGCUCACUGGUCGAGUCGGCCUGCGCGGAAGAUGUAACGGGGCUAAACCAUGCACCGAAGCUGCGGCAGCGACACGAUGUGUUGUUGGGUAGGGGAGCGUUCUGUAAGCCUGCGAAGGUGACCUGUGAGGGUUGCUGGAGGUAUCAGAAGUGCGAAUGCUGACAUAAGUAACGAUAAAGCGGGUGAAAAGCCCGCUCGCCGGAAGACCAAGGGUUCCUGUCCAACGUUAAUCGGGGCAGGGUGAGUCGACCCCUAAGGCGAGGCCGAAAGGCGUAGUCGAUGGGAAACAGGUUAAUAUUCCUGUACUUGGUGUUACUGCGAAGGGGGGACGGAGAAGGCUAUGUUAGCCGGGCGACGGUUGUCCCGGUUUAAGCAUGUAGGCUGGUUAUCCAGGCAAAUCCGGAUAAUCAAGGCUGAGGUGUGAUGACGAGGCACUACGGUGCUGAAGUAACAAAUGCCCUGCUUCCAGGAAAAGCCUCUAAGCAUCAGGUAACAUCAAAUCGUACCCCAAACCGACACAGGUGGUCAGGUAGAGAAUACCAAGGCGCUUGAGAGAACUCGGGUGAAGGAACUAGGCAAAAUGGUGCCGUAACUUCGGGAGAAGGCACGCUGGUGUGUAGGUGAAGUCCCUGCGGAUGGAGCUGAGACCAGUCGAAGAUACCAGCUGGCUGCAACUGUUUAUUAAAAACACAGCACUGUGCAAACACGAAAGUGGACGUAUACGGUGUGACGCCUGCCCGGUGCCGGAAGGUUAAUUGAUGGGGUUAUCCGUAAGGAGAAGCUCUUGAUCGAAGCCCCGGUAAACGGCGGCCGUAACUAUAACGGUCCUAAGGUAGCGAAAUUCCUUGUCGGGUAAGUUCCGACCUGCACGAAUGGCGUAAUGAUGGCCAGGCUGUCUCCACCCGAGACUCAGUGAAAUUGAACUCGCUGUGAAGAUGCAGUGUACCCGCGGCAAGACGGAAAGACCCCGUGAACCUUUACUAUAGCUUGACACUGAACAUUGAGCCUUGAUGUGUAGGAUAGGUGGGAGGCUUUGAAGCGUGGACGCCAGUCUGCGUGGAGCCAACCUUGAAAUACCACCCUUUAAUGUUUGAUGUUCUAACGUUGGCCCCUUACCGGGGUUGCGGACAGUGUCUGGUGGGUAGUUUGACUGGGGCGGUCUCCUCCCAAAGCGUAACGGAGGAGCACGAAGGUUAGCUAAUCCUGGUCGGACAUCAGGAGGUUAGUGCAAUGGCAUAAGCUAGCUUGACUGCGAGCGUGACGGCGCGAGCAGGUGCGAAAGCAGGUCAUAGUGAUCCGGUGGUUCUGAAUGGAAGGGCCAUCGCUCAACGGAUAAAAGGUACUCCGGGGAUAACAGGCUGAUACCGCCCAAGAGUUCAUAUCGACGGCGGUGUUUGGCACCUCGAUGUCGGCUCAUCACAUCCUGGGGCUGAAGUAGGUCCCAAGGGUAUGGCUGUUCGCCAUUUAAAGUGGUACGCGAGCUGGGUUUAGAACGUCGUGAGACAGUUCGGUCCCUAUCUGCCGUGGGCGCUGGAGAAUUGAGGGGGGCUGCUCCUAGUACGAGAGGACCGGAGUGGACGCAUCACUGGUGUUCGGGUUGUCAUGCCAAUGGCACUGCCCGGUAGCUAAAUGCGGAAGAGAUAAGUGCUGAAAGCAUCUAAGCACGAAACUUGCCCCGAGAUGAGUUCUCCCUGAGACU